AACGAACGCUGGCGGCAUGCCUAACACAUGCAAGUCGAACGAGACCUUCGGGUCUAGUGGCGCACGGGUGCGUAACGCGUGGGAAUCUGCCCUUAGGUUCGGAAUAACUUCGGGAAACUGAAGCUAAUACCGGAUGAUGACGUAAGUCCAAAGAUUUAUCGCCUAAGGAUGAGCCCGCGUUGGAUUAGCUAGUUGGUGAGGUAAAGGCUCACCAAGGCGACGAUCCAUAGCUGGUCUGAGAGGAUGAUCAGCCACACUGGGACUGAGACACGGCCCAGACUCCUACGGGAGGCAGCAGUGGGGAAUAUUGGACAAUGGGCGAGAGCCUGAUCCAGCAAUGCCGCGUGAGUGAUGAAGGCCUUAGGGUUGUAAAGCUCUUUUACCCGGGAUGAUAAUAACAGUACCGGGAGAAUAAGCCCCGGCUAACUCCGUGCCAGCAGCCGCGG
rnacentral:rRNA from 1 species